GGGGUUGUAGCUCAGUUGGUUAGAGCGUCACGUUGACAUCGUGAAGGUCAUAGGUUCGAGCCCUACCAACCCCA
rnacentral:tRNA from 1 species